AAAAAAAGUGGAAGAAAAUGAAAAGAUCAAUCACCUAUAGAUUCUAUAAUACGCAUAGGAACAAAGCUUGAUAUUUCCUUGCAUCAUUUCAGCUUCCACCAUCCAAGUUCUCAAAUGCAAUAAAACAAAGUAGAAAUAAUUCACCAACCAAAUAUUAGGCACGCCUAAAUUCCACCCCCUGAGUGGUGGUAAAACUUGGAAAAACAAUGACACAUGGAACCCACAUUGAUUUUUGAUGCGACAGAAAGAAUCCAGUGGAGGACUAAUAGCCUUAAACUGGACUGCAACGUGAAUCUUGCAAUUCUUUUGGCUGUCAAUCCCCAUUCCAAAAUGAAAUU
rnacentral:misc_RNA from 1 species